rnacentral:rRNA from 1 species
UACGGGGGGGGCAAGCGUUGUUCGGAAUUACUGGGCGUAAAGGGCUCGUAGGCGGCCAACUAAGUCAGACGUGAAAUCCCCAGGCUCAACCUGGGAACUGCGUCUGAUACUGGAUGGCUUGAAUCCGGGAGAGGGAUGCAGAAUUCCAGGUGUAGCGGUGAAACGCGUAGAUAUCUGGAGGAAUACCGGUGGCGAAGGCGGCAUCCUGGACCGGCAUUGACGCUGAGGAGCGAAAGCCAGGGGAGCAAACGGG